rnacentral:rRNA from 1 species
UUUGGUUAAGUUAGAAAGGGCGCACGGUGGAUGCCUUGACACUAGGAGUCGAUGAAGGACGGGACUAACGCCGAUAUGCUUCGGGGAGCUGUAAGUAAGCUUUGAUCCGAAGAUUUCCGAAUGGGGAAACCCACCAUACGUAAUGUAUGGUAUCCUUAUCUGAAUACAUAGGGUAAGGAAGACAGACCCAGGGGAACUGAAACAUCUAAGUACCUGGAGGAAGAGAAAGCAAAUGCGAUUUCCUGAGUAGCGGCGAGCGAAACGGAACAUAGCCCAAACCAAGAGGCUUGCCUCUUGGGGUUGUAGGACAUUCUAUACGGAGUUACAAAGGAACGAGGGUAGACGAAGCGACCUGGAAAGGUCCGUCGUAGAGGGUAACAACCCCGUAGUCGAAACUUCGUUCUCUCUUGAAUGUAUCCUGAGUACGGCGGAACACGUGAAAUUCCGUCGGAAUCUGGGAGGACCAUCUCCCAAGGCUAAAUACUCCCUAGUGAUCGAUAGUGAACCAGUACCGUGAGGGAAAGGUGAAAAGCACCCCGGAAGGGGAGUGAAAGAGAUCCCUGAAACGUGUGCCUACAAAUAGUCAGAGCCCGUUAACGGGUGAUGGUGUGCCUUUUGUAGAAUGAACCGGCGAGGUACGAUCCCGUGCGAGGUU